UUUUGGUUGUUCAAUACGCCCUAGAAAGCAACUGCGAAAUCGCUUAAUUUGUUGCCGAGGUGAAAAUACAAAAGUUAAUUUAUUCAAUGAAUUUUCUAUAAAUUUUUAGUGCGUAUU
rfam:Firmicutes bacterium CAG:631 genomic scaffold, scf50